GUGAUUGGUCACUUGGGGGCAGCACGUUGUAAACACCACGCGGACGUUUCUUCGCGGUUUAAAGUUAAUAUGGCUAACUAGUUAGCAAACUGUUGCUUAUUUACACUACCGCCAGACACAAGGAAACAUUAACCUGUAUUUGGAGUCGCCUGAGGGAUGAAUACGGGCCACGCAAUCGGAGGGCUGCAAUCUUCUCGAUCAAUUUCUACCUGCGUUCCUCUUUGUGAUGUUUUGGGACACAUUCCAGUCCAAUAUCUACAACGCUAUUUUGGCCGAACAAUCAAAUUGAACGAGUGGGUGAGGAGAGCGGCCACAAGAGGUGGAAAUCAUCGCCUGAGAGGAAGCAGGAAGUGGCUGCUGAUGGCGUCAGGAUCGAGGUGUCGCUCCCUGCCUGGGUGCUCUGCCGUGCCACAUCUGUCCAUCUGUCAAGCAUACAGGCCCAUCAAUCAAACAGCUGAAUGCAGCCUGGAUUUGCAAACACGAGCACCAGAGCCAAGAAAUCAUCAAAAGGAAGAAACUGGAGCUGCGCUUAUGUGCCGUCAGAGGAGACAGACCAACUUUUGUAGAUACAGGGAAUUUGUUACAGGAGAUGUUACAGGGAUGUGAGCACAUGUAGAAAUAAGCCUGGUGGGAAGGGUACUUACAGAAAGCUCAUUUGGAUGGAGGAGGGGUCAUGAGUGACCAUCAUCUGCUCUCAUGGAUCAAUUUAACAUUUUUUCCAAUCAAAAAAUGUGGAUUCAGUUUUGCAUGCUAUGAUGAAAGAUUAGCAUAUUCCCAGUUAAAUAAUAGAUAAAUAUAUUGGGGUGCUUAUUCAUAUUUGUCCUAUCGCAUGCUGUGUAAUGGCAGAGGUUUUAAAUAUAAAGUCACUUUUUGACGUUUUAAUAAUUCACAAAAAGUUCUGGGAUCUCCAAAUGUGAGUUUUUCAGAAACUAUAUUGCAUGAGCUACAAAAUAAAAGCAAACAUAUUAUUUUUAGCCUCCUACCUUAUGUUGUGUUUUCCAGGAUGAGGUUAGUUGUGGCUCAUAAAGCUUCUGAAAACCAAGUAUUUUUCUACAUCAUUAAAUAUUCAUGAAGCUGACAAAAUAGGUUUUCAGGGUCCUUAAACAGAAGCAGGCUCUAUUUUUUUAUUACUGCAGUGUUUUAGUCUGUGUUAUAAUUCAACUGGGGAUAUUGUCUGGCAUUAUUUAGAUUUAAUCAGUCGCAAAAGAUGCACUGUUGAUAUCUUUUGCUCUCCAUUUGUUUACUGGUCAAACAUUAUGUUGAUGCUGCCAGGUGACCCUAACACCUCUGCCCCCUUUCCCACCCACCACCAUCUGGAAGUACAACAGUUGUGUGCAGCAAUGUGAAAAAGAUUGUCUCUGUAUUUGAAUUAAAU
rnacentral:lncRNA from 1 species